CAGCCGCCGCGGUAAAACGUAGGUGGCAAGCGUUGUCCGGAAUUAUUGGGCGUAAAGGGCUCGCAGGCGGUUUCUUAAGUCUGAUGUGAAAGCCCCCGGCUCAACCGGGGAGGGUCAUUGGAAACUGGGAAACUUGAGUGCAGAAGAGGAGAGUGGAAUUCCACGUGUAGCGGUGAAAUGCGUAGAGAUGUGGAGGAACACCAGUGGCGAAGGCGAUUCUCUGGUCUGUAACUGACGCUGAGGAGCGAAAGCGUGGGGAGCGAACAGGAUUAGAUACCCCUGUAGUCCCUGUCUCUUAUAC
rnacentral:rRNA from 1 species